GAUGAACGCUGGCGGCGUGCCUAAUACAUGCAAGUCGAGCGAACAGACGAUGAGCUUGCUCCUCUGACGUUAGCGGCGGACGGGUGAGUAACACGUGGAUAACCUACCUAUAAGACUGGGAUAACUUCGGGAAACCGGAGCUAAUACCGGAUAAUAUAUUGAACCGCAUGGUUCAAUAGUGAAAGACGGUUUUGCUGUCACUUAUAGAUGGAUCCGCGCCGCAUUGUCUAGUUGGUAAGGUAACGGCUUACCAAGGCAACGAUGCGUAGCCGACCUGAGAGGGUGAUCAGCCACACUGGAACUGAGACACGGUCCAGACUCCUACGGGAGGCAGCAGUAGGGAAUAUUGCGCAAUGGGCGAAAGCCUGACGCAGCAACGCCGCGUGAGUGAUGAAGGUCUUCGGAUCGUAAAACUCUGUUAUUAGGGAAGAAAAAAUGUGUAAGUAACUAUGCACGUCUUGACGGUACCUAAUCAGAAAGCAACGGCUAACUACGUG
rnacentral:rRNA from 1 species